rnacentral:rRNA from 1 species
ACGGAAGGCAGCAGUGGGGAAUAUUGCACAAUGGGGGGAACCCUGAUGCAGCGACGCCGCGUGAAGGAAGAAGUAUCUCGGUAUGUAAACUUCUAUCAGCAGGGAAGAUAAUGACGGUACCUGACUAAGAAGCCCCGGCUAACUACGUGCCAGCAGCCGCGGUAAUACGUAGGGGGCAAGCGUUAUCCGGAUUUACUGGGUGUAAAGGGAGCGUAGACGGAUCGGCAAGUCUGAUGUGAAAGGCUGGGGCUCAACCCCGGGACUGCAUUGGAAACUGUCGGUCUUGAGUGCCGGAGGGGUAAGCGGAAUUCCUAGUGUAGCGGUGAAAUGCGUAGAUAUUAGGAGGAACACCAGUGGCGAAGGCGGCUUACUGGACGGUAACUGACGUUGAGGCUCGAAAGCGUGGGGAGCAAACAGGAUUAGAUACCCUGGUA